GAUGAACGCUAGUGGGAGGCCUAACACAUGCAAGCCGAGCGGUAUUGUUUCUUCGGAAAUGAGAGAGCGGCGUACGGGUGCGUAACACGUGUGCAACCUGCCUUUAUCUGGGGGAUAGCCUUUCGAAAGGAAGAUUAAUACUCCAUAAUAUAUUGAACGGCAUCGUUUAAUAUUGAAAGCUCCGGCGGAUAGAGAUGGGCACGCGCAAGAUUAGCUAGUUGGUGAGGUAACGGCUCACCAAGGCGAUGAUCUUUAGGGGGCCUGAGAGGGUGAUCCCCCACACUGGUACUGAGACCCGGACCAGACUCCUACGGGAGGCAGCAGUGAGGAAUAUUGGUCAAUGGGUGCAAGCCUGACCCAGCCAUCCCGCGUGAAGGACGACUGCCCUAUGGGUUGUAAACUUCUUUUGUAUAGGGAUAAACCUACCCUCGAGAGGGUAGCUGAAGGUACUAUACGAAUAAGCACCGGCUAACUCCGUG
rnacentral:rRNA from 1 species